rnacentral:rRNA from 1 species
GAUGAACGCUGGCGGCGUGCCUAAUACAUGCAAGUCGAGCGAACGGACGAGAAGCUUGCUUCUCUGAUGUUAGCGGCGGACGGGUGAGUAACACGUGGAUAACCUACCUAUAAGACUGGGAUAACUUCGGGAAACCGGAGCUAAUACCGGAUAAUAUUUUGAACCGCAUGGUUCAAAAGUGAAAGACGGUCUUGCUGUCACUUAUAGAUGGAUCCGCGCUGCAUUAGCUAGUUGGUAAGGUAACGGCUUACCAAGGCAACGAUGCAUAGCCGACCUGAGAGGGUGAUAGGCCAAACUGGAACUGAGACACGGUCCAGACUACUACGGGAGGCAGCAGUAGGGAAUCUUCCGCAAUGGGCGAAAGCCUGACGGAGCAACGCCGCGUGAGUGAUGAAGGUCUUCGGAUCGUAAAACUCUGUUAUUAGGGAAGAACAUAUGUGUAAGUAACUGUGCACAUCUUGACGGUACCUAAUCAGAAAGCCACGGCUAACUACGUG